rnacentral:rRNA from 1 species
AGUGAACGCUGGCGGCGUGCUUAACACAUGCAAGUCGAACGAGAACGGUCCUUCGGGAUGUCAGCUAAGUGGCGGACGGGUGAGUAAUGUAUAGCUAAUGUGCCCCUUGGAGGGGGAUAACAGUUGGAAACGACUGCUAAUACCCCAUACUCCUUCUAUAUUAAUUAUAGUUGGGAAAUGUUUUUUCGCCAAGGGAUCGGGCUAUAUGGUAUCAGCUUGUUGGUGAGGUAAUGGCUCACCAAGGCUAUGACGCCUAGCUGGUCUGAGAGGAUGAUCAGCCACACUGGAACUGAGACACGGUCCAGACUCCUACGGGAGGCAGCAGUGGGGAAUAUUGCACAAUGGAGGAAACUCUGAUGCAGCAACGCCGCGUGGAGGAUGACGCAUUUCGGUGUGUAAACUCCUUUUAUAUAGGAAGAUAAUGACGGUACUAUAUGAAUAAGCACCGGCUAACUCCGUG